AUCAGUGUUCGUGUCCGUGCCCGUGCAAGUGUAAACGAUAUUAGAAAAACGAUAUUUUAAAAACGAGACUAAAAAACGAGUAUUUUAAGAAAAACUUUUUUCCCUUCUGAACCGGAAGAAGAAAAAUUAAAAUAAUCUUGUUCAGGAAUCCAAUCGGCUUCAGAUAAUCUAAAUGUAACCAACCGACCUCAAAUAAAACAAUGCUGGAAAAAAACCGGAUUGGAAUCACUUCCCGAUUGAAUGCAAUUGGACUGAGAAUAUUAAUGGAAUACUUGAUAUAAGGAUACAGAACAAUUUCAGUGUAACAGAGAAAAACGAAAACCUUGAUGCGGUCACCAAUUUGAUAGAAUAUGUAAAAAUAAUUGAAACCUGUAAAGAAAUCAUAAAUAAUUGUACAAAUGAGGUAGUAGAAUAACCUCCUAGAGGGUGUGACAAGAGCGCACUCAGUUGUUUUACAACUCCUGUAACAUGGAUGAGACAUAAUAAACUACAGAAUUUAGUGA